GCGCAGCCUCCUGACACACGGCUCGUGUCAGCUCACUACUUGGCGUGCUCAUCCUUGAUUUUAUUUCACUGAAUAAUUACGUAAGAAUAUUCAUCGCAGACAUUACUGAAGGUGCUCACAGUGAAAGGAGAUCACCUCCAUAUGCAGAGGCUAGGAAACCAUACUUGUAUACAGAGGACAGAAGCCCAUGGCUACAGCUGGCUAAUUGGGAAGUAGGAGUCCCAUCUGGAUCUCCAUAUCAGACUGAAGGACAAGAAGAAGAUGGGAAAGCCUGCCUGAGUUCUUGCUCCUGGAAAAGUUCCAUUUAAAUUCAAAUUCUCUCUAUUAUUGCUUGCCCAAACAUUGGUUCCACCUGUAUUUUUUUUCUUUUUUUGUUCGUUUGUCUGUCUCCCCCUCCACCCCGACUGCUUUGAAAUGGAGUUUGUUGAAGAUAAGAAUUUGUCAAUUUCUAUAUAAUGAGUUUGGUCAAGUGAAACUUCAGAGAAUUUUCAGGAAAUGAUUCAAAAUUGUUAGUUGGGGUUCUUCCUCACCUAUGAAGAGCUAUGUUUAUUUAAAAACCAAAGAAAAGUAAGCCUUGGUUUCCUGUGAAAUUAAGAAAGAAGAUUGAUGAAGAUAAAUGACCUAGAAGAAAGUCCUCUUCUCUGACAUAAAACUCUGGCUAGAAGGAGAAGCCUAGCAUGGAUAAUGAUAUUUACAUAUAGGCAUUGAAUUAUAAUUUUUUUUUCCUGAAAUGCGUGUACAUUUUCUAGCUGUUCUUGAGUGAAGAUGACAGAACCUAUAAUUGCUGGCCUGGAAAUCUGUGAUUGGAUUUAAGCCCAGUUAGGGAAGCUCUUACCAAAAUAUUUAGUUAAGUUCAGGUAAAGUGGAGAAUACUUCAGGGUCUUUGAGAAGGUGGGUCCCUCUGAUUUUAAUGAUUUUUCUCUUGUUACAAUGUCUAUAAUUGUUUAUGUGAAUAAGUUACAUUGUUUGGGCUACUUAUGAUAAAUAAGCGUAUGUGCAUUGCUUCUAUAGAUGAGGUGAAUUUUUGUGACCUAUUACUGUUAGUUGUUAUUGGUAGAGCACGUUAUAGAUGAUACCACACUCUGGUGAUUUUUUAAUGUACCAUUGGAGAUACGAGUUGAUAUGUGUUUUUUAAUUUUAUAGAAAUGUCUCAAUAAAGGCACUGUAAAUGUA